UUAUGUUUCCUCUUGAAGACAUCAAGGACCCUUCAAAACACACAACGUUCCUGCCCCAGGCAAAAAGCCCAGUUACCUCUGGCCACUGCAGUUUGGCUCAUCAUCAGGGAACCUUUGCCUCCUCCAAGACCAAGGCACCACUCCAGUAACAGUCAGAAAGAGGUUUCACGAGGCUACAGGCACCUCCAGUUUAUCCAGGUCUUCUCACGGGAGCCGGUAGCCAAUGAGGGUAAUGAUAGAGCUUUCUGGACAUGAGUCCAGUUCUGUCUUGCCACCGUGAAUGCAAGCUCUAUUAAUCAACUUUCUUGGCUGGCCUCCACCCACAACUCCAGGGACUGAGCCACAGUGCCUAUUAGCUCCUAUAUGGGAAGCUCUGAAAAGCUGAGAAAACUUUCCUAACAAUUCUGCCAGGAGCCAACUGAAGCUUGGAACUCCAAGGAAUGCUAAAGCUAUAGCCCGAGGACCUCUGGGGCCAUAUCUCCCAGGAAGAUCCUGCCUCCUCACUGAAGCUCCUGGUCUGGCCUCCUGCAGUGCCACACUCCGUGUAUUUGACAAGCUGAGUUGGACACUCCAUGUGGUAGAGUGUCAGUUUGUCAAAUACCCCAAGUGCGGCAUAUGCCUAACAGCUCCAAGCCAGGGCAGUUGGGAUACAACAAACAAAUUGCCAGCUGAAUACAAGAUCACUCUCCAAACACAAACUAAACUUUCCCAAGUUAUUUUCAGUGACUUGAGGGAACUGAAGCAUUGUAUCUGAGGGUGCCAGGGGAAAAGUGAGGCAACUCUUGAAGCCACAGAUCUGGAAUGUUUCUACACACAUUGUCAGAGCCCAAGCAGGACAUAAUGGUCUUGAAAAGGUAUAUGGAAUCCAGGGAUGGAAGUGCUCUUUGAUUUGUAUUUUUUUUCUUCACAUUCCUCUUACAGAGUCUCCUAGAAAGGACACCAGAAUUCUCACACAAGCUUCAUGAUAGGGCUUAGAAACCCACUUUCCUGACACUCAGCCUUGGCUUCUAGACACACUUUGACCUUAUCUUUCUCUUCUUCUUCAUGUCUUUUCUCCUUCUGGUAAUACUUUAUCUAUUUUUUUCUGCCUACUCAAUUAUUUCUCAUACUUCUGGCUCAGAAAAAUUCCAGUCUCUCCAAGGACUUUUAAAAGUCAACCUACACUUUUUUUCUUCUUCAUUUGAAGAACACACCUUGCCUUAACCCUUGUAUGUACCCAUUUCUUCUAUUGUCCAAUGGCACCUCUUGAAUUAUUAAUAAACUUUUGCAGUGGAUAUUUUUAAUUCCCCCAUGAAAUUGUGAGGAAAAUAGUGUUUUCUUGAAUUGCUGUCUCCCCUUUCUAUCCCUACACCCAGUAGCUCUGGUUGCAGAAAAUAAUACAUCUUUACUGAUUGACUUUCUACUAGACUAUUAUCCUUGGAUUUGGGUCAAGAUGCUAUUCAGAAAUUUGUGAAAAAAAUUAAACUGUGGUUACCAUAAUGCUAUAGGAUAUGUGAGGUAAUAAUCAACAUUGAGGGAUUUUCCUCCUGAGAAAUAGGGUCAAGGACUGAAAUGGAAAAGCAAAAACAUAUGCUCAGGGGACAAAUAUGUUUUGAAAUUAUUUGGUAACUCAAAGUUAUACAGGUGUUUUAUUGCAGAAUUUUCAGUGUCUUUAAUUUUCUAAUGUUGCAUUGGAAAUCUCAAGUAGAAAGAUUUACAGAAUGAAGCAUUUUUUAUUCCUAUCUAAUUGUGGAUUCCCUCCCCCCCCCCCCCCCAGGACCAUCUCUUGGUCAGAAUCUGGGAAAAUGCCCUAGAGGGACUCCAUAUCUUCUGUCUCUCUUUUGGAGAUCUGCCUUUUUUUUUUUUUCUCUUCCAGCUUUCCCUGAAUGGCUAUCUGCCUAAGACAAAUUCUGUUAUCAUCCCAUGUUUGUUUAGCCUAUCCUACAGUUUUGAGAUAACCCUGUACCUAUGACUCUCUUACUGACUUCUCUUGUAUGGAAAAAAAAAAUAUUAGUUUUGGGGCAAAGAUGAUUCCUACUGCAAUGAAUAUAUGAUCCUAACAGUUCACAGGCCUGUUUUCUGGUCUCUGCUCUAUCACUGACUUGAUGUAUGUGAUUUUAUACGGUCAUGUCCCUCUCUAGGAUGUAUUUCCUCAUAUGUAAUAUAGGAGAAUUAAAAUUAAUAAUCUCCAAGAUUUCUAAGAUAA